GACCGCCCGGAAACAGAGCAGACAGAGUCGCCGCGGAAGCAAAUGGAAGGAC
rnacentral:SRP_RNA from 1 species